GCACUACUGACGAGUCUCAAACAGGACGUAACAGCUGUCCAGUGC
rfam:Echinostoma caproni strain Egypt genome assembly, scaffold: ECPE_scaffold0014990